CGGGACGGGUGGGUAAUGUCUGGGAAACGUGCCUGAUGGAGGGGGAUAACUACUGGAAACGGUAGCUAAUACCGCAUAACGUCGCAAGACCAAAGAGGGGGACCUUAGGGCCUCUUGCCAUCGGAUGUGCCCAGAUGGGAUUAGCUAGUAGGUGGGGUAACGGCUCGCCUAGGCGACGAUCCCUAGCUGGUCUGAGAGGAUGACCAGCCACACUGGAACUGAGACACGGUCCAG
rnacentral:rRNA from 1 species